AUUAAAAUAUAUUAAUUGUCAAGUCAUUUAAUUUUCAUUAGAUAUAAUUUUUCAGUUCUAAGAUUAAAACUAAAAUUGGGGAUGGGAGCGGCUACUAUUGUAGGCUAGAAGUUGGGAUGGGAAAACAUAAGGUUAUUUCAUUUAUAUCUGUAAGCAACGAUAAACCAUUGCUUAACGAAAGACGAUUCCGAGCGCAGUUCGGUAAUACAUAAUUUGAAGUGAUGUAAUUUUUUUUGCGAUUUUCGUUUAAAUAUAGAAUAGAAGUUAUUUAUUAAAUAAACUUUUUUUAAGUUACUCCAUUAUAAAAUAAUCACCAAUUAUUAUUAAAUUAAUAAAAUGCAAUAAAACAAUUACAAGAAUUUCAAUUUUUUUUCUGUGAUAAAAAUAUAAAAUA